rnacentral:rRNA from 1 species
CGUGUAGGCGGCCCGGCACGUCCGUCGCUGAAAUCCCCCGGCUCAACCGGGGAAGUGGCGUGGAUACGACCGGGCUGGAGGGGGGUAGGGGGAGCCGGAACUUCCGGUGGAGCGGUGAAAUACGUUGAGAUCGGAAGGAACGCCCGUGGCGAAAGCGGGCUCCUGGACCCCACCUGACGCUGAGACGCGAAAGCCAGGGGAGCGAACG